AGUCCCAGGCCCCAGGGCGAAGGCGGCCAGGGGAAAUGGGGCUCAGGGAUUGCUAAGCAAACGCAUCACUGGUGGUCUCCAGCGCCUGCGGAGUAUCUUUUGCUGCCUCUUACGUAUUGUAGGCAGUGCCUGAUGGCUGAGAAGAAUCGCAGAGGACUAGAAAAGGUUUGAGUCUGAAAUUAUCUGGCACAGAGGAUUAAAGCUCAGAAAUAAGUGAUUGCGAAACAGUUCAACUUCCCUGUUAAUGACAACAACAACAGCAACACGCUUAUUAAUUCCUAGCUGGAGCAUCAAGCUUAUGAAGAUUUCCAAGACUUUAUUGUUGACCCUUGUUGAAGAGAACUCUACUUGGCUUCUUUCCUGGCUUUCCUAAAUUGUUCACAUACAAGAUAAACUACCGUCAUUCAGACUUACAGAAGUGAGAAGACAAGCUGAACCAAAUGUAAAAUGG
rnacentral:lncRNA from 1 species